rnacentral:rRNA from 1 species
CGCUGGCGGCGUGCUUAACACAUGCAAGUUGAACGAUUUCUGGAGGUUGGAGGUUUUAUAACUUCCAACUUUCAAUAGAAAGAGUAGCGGACGGGUGAGUAACGCGUAGAGAAUCUGUCUUUAAGUUGUGGAUAACCUGGCGAAAGUUGGGCUAAUCCCCAAUAAUCUAACCGAUAAGCAUUUAUCAGUUAGCAAAGGUGGUUAUGUAAAUAGCCACUGUUUAAAGAGGGCUCUGCGUCGGAUUAGCUAGCUGGUGAGGUAAUGGCUCACCAGGGCGACGAUCCGUAGCUGGUCUGAGAGGACGAUCAGCCACACUGGGACUGAGACACGGCCCAGACUCCUACGGGAGGCAGCAGUGGGGAAUCUUCCGCAAUGGGCGCAAGCCUGACGGAGCAACGCCGCGUGAGUGAAGAAGGUCUUCGGAUUGUAAAGCUCUGUCUUGGGGGAAGAAAAGCAGAUACAGGAAAUGAUAUUUGCUUGACGGUACCCUUAGAGGAAGCCCUGGCUAACUACGUGCCAGCAGCCGCGGUAAUACGUAGAGGGCAAGCGUUGUCCGGAAUCAUUGGGCGUAAAGGGUACGCAGGCGGAUAUGCAAGUCAAAUGUGAAAGGUACCGGCUUAACCGGUAGAGUGCAUUCGAAACUGUAUAUCUUGAGUGCAGCAGAGGAAAACGGAAUUCCUGGGAGUAGCGGUGAAAUGCGUAGAUAUCAGGAAGAACACCUGUGGCGAAGGCGGUUUUCUGGGGCUGACACUGGACGCUGANGGUACGAAAGCCAGGGUAGCG